UACGGAGGAUGCAAGCGUUAUUCGGAAUGAUUGGGCGUAAAGCGUCCGCAGGUGGCUGUGUAAGUCUGCUGUCAAAGAGCAAAGCUCAACUUUGUAAAGGCAGUGGAAACUACACGGCUAGAGUGCGUUCGGGGCAGAGGGAAUUCCUGGUGUAGCGGUGAAAUGCGUAGAGAUCAGGAAGAACACCGGUGGCGAAGGCGCUCUGCUAGGCCGCAACUGACACUGAGGGACGAAAGCUAGGGGAGCGAAUGGG
rnacentral:rRNA from 1 species